rnacentral:rRNA from 1 species
AUUGAACGCUGGCGGCAGGCUUAACACAUGCAAGUCGAGCGGUAGCACAGGGGAGCUUGCUCCCUGGGUGACGAGCGGCGGACGGGUGAGUAAGGUCUGGGAAACUGCCUGAUGGAGGGGGAUAACUACUGGAAACGGUAGCUAAUACCGCAUAACGUCGCAAGACCAAAGAGGGGGACCUUCGGGCCUCUUGCCAUCAGAUGUGCCCAGAUGGGAUUAGCUAGUAGGUGGGGUAAUGGCUCACCUAGGCGACGAUCCCUAGCUGGUCUGAGAGGAUGACCAGCCACACUGGAACUGAGACACGGUCCAGACUCCUACGGGAGGCAGCAGUGGGGAAUAUUGCACAAUGGGCGCAAGCCUGAUGCAGCCAUGCCGCGUGUGUGAAGAAGGCCUUCGGGUUGUAAAGCACUUUCAGCGAGGAGGAAGGUGGUGAGCUUAAUACGUUCAUCAAUUGACGUUACUCGCAGAAGAAGCACCGGCUAACUCCGUG